CUCACAAAGCCAUAGGAAAAGAAGGCUCUGUCUGACUUGUUUUUGUUAGGAACCGAGAUGAGGGGAAGGUGACAGCUCGUUAGACAUCUUGGAUGUGACAACCUGAGAUGCUUUCCAGCCUGAAGGCAUAGAUACAGUGACGUCACAGGCUACUACUGCCCUACGUAUCUACUGAAGACAUCAUCAGGCACAGAUCCUGACCUCAUCUGCUGAUAUUGACACAUGCCGACUGAGGAGUGUGAGGAGCUGAGGAGGCAGUGUGGAGGGCACCGCAGCUGCUGAGGUGUUGACUCACUGCCUGAAGGACUGUCCGAGAAGGUUGCAAGGAAGGUUUUGGGAUGUCUUUGUUCCACCAUUAUCAAGGUCUUUUGUACCUUUUAUGUGUUAUUUUAUUGUGAGAGCUCUGGUCAGCCCAUCUUUCUAGGGCAGGGAAAUCUCACCCUGGAGUCCUAUUCAAGAUUGAUAAGAUGAUAAGGGAUGCUUAAACAGAAAAGCAUUUUGAACACC
rnacentral:lncRNA from 1 species